UACGGGGGGGCAAGCGUUGUUCGGAAUUACUGGGCGUAAAGGGCUCGUAGGCGGCUUGUCGCGUCGACUGUGAAAUCCCGCGGCUCAACUGCGGGUCUGCAGUCGAUACGGGCAGGCUAGAGUUCGGUAGGGGAGACUGGAAUUCCUGGUGUAGCGGUGAAAUGCGCAGAUAUCAGGAGGAACACCGGUGGCGAAGGCGGCGAGCUGGUCCAUUACUGACGCUGAGGCGCGACAGCGUGGGGAGCAAACAGG
rnacentral:rRNA from 1 species